AACGAACGCUGGCGGCAUGCCUAACACAUGCAAGUCGAACGAGAUCUUCGGGUCUAGUGGCGCACGGGUGCGUAACGCGUGGGAAUUUGCCCUUUGGUUCGGAAUAACAGUUGGAAACGACUGCUAAUACCGGAUGAUGACGAAAGUCCAAAGAUUUAUCGCCAGAGGAUGAGCCCGCGUAGGAUUAGCUAGUUGGUGUGGUAAAGGCGCACCAAGGCGACGAUCCUUAGCUGGUCUGAGAGGACGAUCAGCCACACUGGGACUGAGACACGGCCCAGACUCCUACGGGAGGCAGCAGUGGGGAAUAUUGGACAAUGGGCGAAAGCCUGAUCCAGCAAUGCCGCGUGAGUGAUGAAGGCCUUAGGGUUGUAAAGCUCUUUUACCCGGGAUGAUAAUGACAGUACCGGGAGAAUAAGCUCCGGCUAACUCCGUGCCAGCAGCCGCCGUAA
rnacentral:rRNA from 1 species